rfam:Mesocricetus auratus contig183573, whole genome shotgun sequence.
GCCCUCAGUGGCUCAGUAGCCAGUGUAGAUCCUGUCUUUGGUAAUCAGCAGCUACAUCUGGCUACUGGGUCUCUGGUGGCAUCA